GCGCGUCUGUGGUUGCAAGUCGAUGCCAGGCGCGGGCAAAGCGAUCCACGUAAACCGGCAAAUGUCCGGCGAGCAUGGCGCGCCUUAGAGGUAAGUCCUGCCGGCCAAAAAUUCUUCCGAGAGGGUCAGUAGUGGGGAGGCAGAGUCCUUAUGAGCGAACGCUCCAGCAGGCGAGUGUGGGGUCAAAGACCAGGUCAGGCGU
rnacentral:ncRNA from 1 species